UACGUAGGGUGCAAGCGUUAAUCGGAAUUACUGGGCGUAAAGCGUGCGCAGGCGGUUGUGCAAGACCGAUGUGAAAUCCCCGGGCUCAACCUGGGAAUGGCAUUGGUGACUGUACGGCUAGAGUGUGUCAGAGGGGGUAGAAUUCCACGUGUAGCAGUGAAAUGCGUAGAGAUGUGGAGGAAUACCGAUGGCGAAGGCAGCCCCCUGGGAUAACACUGACGCUCAUGCACGAAAGCGUGGGGAGCAAACAGG
rnacentral:rRNA from 1 species